rnacentral:tRNA from 1 species
GGGUGAUAUAGCUCAGUGGUAGUAGCAUUCGACUGCAGAUCGAGAGGUCCCCGGUUCGAACCCGGGUAUUCCCU